UACAGAGGUCUCAAGCGUUGUUCGGAUUUAUUGGGCGUAAAGCGCACGCAGGCGGUGCGGUAAGUUUCGAGUGACAGGUGGUGGCUUAACUGCCACAGGGCUCGGAAAACUGCUGCACUUGAGGGCUUGAGAGGGACGCGGAAUUCCAGGUGGAGCGGUGAAAUGCGUAGAGAUCUGGAAGAACACCAAAGGCGAAGGCAGCGACCUGGCAAGUCACUGACGCUCAGGUGCGAAAGCUAGGGGAGCGAACGGG
rnacentral:rRNA from 1 species